CAAUAGCGUAUAUUAAAGUUGUUGCAGUUAAAAAGCUCGUAGUUGGAUUUCUGGUUGAAGCGACCGGUCGGGCGUUGAUUCGUCUGCACUGGAGUCGGUUUUGGCCAUCCUCUAGGAAAGUGCGUCUGGUAUUAAGUUAUCGGGCGUAUGAUCCUGGUCUUUUACUGUGAAAAAAUUAGAGUGUUUAAAGCAGGCCUUCGCCUUGAAUACAUUAGCAUGGAAUAAUAAGAUAGGACUUUGGUCCAUUUUGUUGGUUUGCAGACCGAAGUAAUGAUUAAUAGGGAUAGUUGGGGGUAUUUAUAUUCCGAUGUCAGAGGUGAAAUUCUUAGAUUUUCGGAAGAUAAACUUAUGCGAAAGCAUUUACCAAGGAUGUUUNCAUUAA
rnacentral:rRNA from 1 species